rnacentral:sRNA from 1 species
UGGUUGCGUAAGUUAAUUACUAACGGGUGCUAACCCGUCACAUAAAGAGUAUGCUGAGGGCAGUCAAUGAUUUGGUCAGAUUUUAUAAGAGUGUUACACUGGAACCAUUUGUUGAAGGAGGUUUCUGAGUUGUUGUCAGUGCAGAUGAUGGAGUUGACUUGUGUAAUGCAAGCUGUUUUUUUGAUGAGGAGUUGUCAAUGAGUUUUCCUUUGUGCUCAGUGAAUCUCAUUGAUUGUAAGAUUGAUGAAGGGAUUAUUGAGGAGUAGUCAUUGUUGUUGUUGUUGCUAUUUUUGUUGUUGCUUUUGCUUUUGUUUUUUUUUUUUUAAUAUCUUUUUUUAUUUUAUUUAAAUGAUCAAUUAGAUAUCAUUCUUUCAGCAAAUCUUGCCCUUGCUACUUGCUUGAAUCUCAGUGAGGCAGAUGGGAGAAUCUCUGUUUCUGAGGCAUACAGACAACAGAAUCUCUGUGAACUUCUUCAAAGUUCAGUGAAGUUCUGAAUCAAUGAAAUCUUCAAGGAAAAUGAUGCUGUGAGACAAUGGAAUCUUCAAGGAAAAUGGUGCUGUGAGACAAUGGAAUCUUCGAGGAAAAUGGUGCUGUG